rnacentral:rRNA from 1 species
GUGAGGAAUAUUGCGCAAUGGAGGCAACUCUGACGCAGCCAUGCCGCGUGCAGGAAGAAGGCGCUACGCGUUGUAAACUGCUUUUAACCGGGAAGAAACCCCAGGACGUGUCCUGGGUUGACGGUACCGGAGGAAUAAGCACCGGCUAACUUCGUGCCAGCAGCCGCGGUCAUACGAAGGGUGCAAGCGUUAUCCGGAUUCCUUGGGUUUAAAGGGUGCGUAGGCGGAGCGUUAAGUCAGUGGUGAAAUCCUGCAGCUUAAGUGUAGACUUGCCAGUGAUACUGGCGCUCUUGAGUGCGCUUGAAGUGGGCGGAAUGUGCCGUGUAGCGGUGAAAUGCUUAGAUAUGGCACAGAACACCAAUUGCGAAGGCAGCUCACUAAGGCGAUACUGACGCUGAGGCACGAAAGCGUGGGGAUCGAACAGGAUUAGAAACCCUUGUAGUCC